AGCAGGGAUGCGUGCUCGCUCCAACUCUUUUUGGGAUCUUCUUCGCAGUGCUGCUGAAGCAAGCCUUCGGAAAUUCCACAGAGGGGGUCUACCUACAUACCCGAAGUGAUGGGAACCUGUUUAACCUCGCAAGGCUUAAGGCCCGGUCGAAGGUACGAAAGGUUUUCAUCCGUAAUAUGCUGUUUGCUGAUGAUGCUGCUCUGGUGUCACAUACACAGGAAGAGCUUCAGCGGCAAAUGGAUUGCUUCUCUCGCACAGUUGAGGCCUUUGGUCUCAAAAUAAGCUUGGAGAAAACCAAUGUUAUGGGACAAAGUACCCCUCAACCUCCAUCAAUCUCCAUCGGCAACUACACUCUUGAGGUUGUUCAUGCAUUCAAUUACCUCGGGUCGACCAUCACAGAUACCAUGUCACUGGAGCCUGAGCUCAAUAAAAGAAUAGGAAAAGCCGCCAUGACUCUGUCCAGUCUCAGCAGGAGAGUGUGGAUGAAUGGCAUGCUCUCCAGGCGUACUAAGAUCAAAGUUUACUGCGCUUGCGUUCUUGGAGUUCUGCUCUACGGAAGUGAAACAUGGACUUUGUAUGCCCACCAGGAGAAAAGAUUGAACACAUUCCACCUGCGUUGUCUCAGACGCAUCCUCCAGAUCUCGUGGAAGGACAAAGUUACUAACAGUGACGUCCUUAAUCUGGCUGGAUUGCCAAGCAUGCAGACCAUCCUCAGGCAACGCAGGCUACGGUGGCUAGGGCACGUUCGUCGGAUGGAUGAUGGAAGGAUCCCGAAAGACAUCCUGUAUGGGGAACUGGCCUCUGGUGUACGACCAACCGGACGGCCUCAUUUGCGCUUCAAGGAUGUGUGCAAAAAGGAUUUGAGAGAGCUUGACAUUAAUGUGAACGGCUGGGAGGAGCUGGCAACUGAUCGUUGCAGCUGGAGGCGGGAACUUCAUCAAGGUCUGGGACGUGGCGAACAAAAGCUGCGACUACAGGCUGAAGAGAGGCGAAGACGCAGGAAGGUCAGGCUUCAAGUGGAACAUAUGAACAGCACCCAGCACAUCUGUUGCAACUGCGGCAAGGAUUGUCAUUCUCGUUUGGGCCUUCACAGUCAUGGCCGGCGAUGCAAACCACCGUGAAGUGGACAAAACCAAGGCGCAAUUCCAUGGUCUUUCUAGACUGAUGGAUGCCAAUGAUGAU
rnacentral:lncRNA from 1 species